rnacentral:rRNA from 1 species
CCCUUAGAUGUUCUGGGCCGCACGCGCGCUACAAUGAUGAAUUCAACGAGUUUAUAACCUUGGUUGAAAAGCCUGGGUAAUCUUUUGAACUUUCGUCGUGAUGGGGCUAGACCCUUGCAGUUAUUGGUCUCCAACGAGGAAUUCCUAGUAAACGCAAGUCAUCAGCUUGCAUUGAUUACGUCCCUGCCCUUUGUACACACCGCCCGUCGCACCUACCGAUUGAAUGGUCCGGUGAAAUCUUCGGAUUGAGACUUUGAUUUCUUCACGGAAAACGCUGUUUUAAAAAGUUGAUUAAACCUUACCAUUUAGAGGAAGGUGAAGUCGUAACA